GACGAACCGUGCGAACGUUAUUCGGAAUCACUGGGCUUAAAGGGCGCGUAGGCGGGUGCUCAAGUCCGGGGUGAAAUCCUCCAGCUCAACUGGAGAACUGCCUCGGAUACUGGGCGCCUCGAGGGUGGUAGGGGUAUGCGGAACUAUCGGUGGAGCGGUGAAAUGCGUUGAUAUCGAUAGGAACUCCGGUGGCGAAGGCGGCAUACUGGACCACAUCUGACGCUGAGGCGCGAAAGCCAGGGGAGCAAACGGG
rnacentral:rRNA from 1 species